AUUGAACGCUGGCGGCAUGCCUUACACAUGCAAGUCGAACGGCAGCACGGGAGCUUGCUCCUGGUGGCGAGUGGCGAACGGGUGAGUAAUACAUCGGAACGUACCCUGAAGUGGGGGAUAACGUAGCGAAAGUUACGCUAAUACCGCAUAUUCUGUGAGCAGGAAAGAGGGGGGAUCGCAAGACCUCUUGCUUUAGGAGCGGCCGAUGUCGGAUUAGCUAGUUGGUGAGGUAAAGGCUCACCAAGGCGACGAUCCGUAGCGGGUCUGAGAGAUGAUCGCCACACUGGGACUGAGACACGGCCCAGACUCCUACGGGAGGCGAGCAGUGGGGAAUUUUGGACAAUGGGCGCAAGCCUGAU
rnacentral:rRNA from 1 species